ACAGCUUGAACCGGCCCACUUCUCAGCCGGUCCCGGUCCCAAAUGGUCCCGGUCUCGCGGGCCUCGCCUAUGAGACCGGCCCACUAUCCGGCCCAUCACCCCACGAUCCCGAUCCUAUCCGGACCGUUUAGGCCCACCGCCCAUGUGGAUUGCGGUGCUAGGCCGGUCCCGGUCCCGCGUUUUGAGAUUCUUGCGGAAGUCUUUGAAAAUCACAAUUGGAUAAUCCAAUCCAAUACGAUAUCCAUAUAUAUUUCUACUAUCCUACGCCUGUGUGUUUACUGUUCUCACCAAUAUAAUUAAACUUGCGCUCACUGCGCACUUUAUCAUUAACCACUGCUCAGCGGCCGGCAACGAGCUUCCAUACUUGCUGAAAGCAUUUAUUUUAAGCUUUGUGAAUUCCGACGUCUGCGAGGUGAUUGAUCAAUUCUAGAAACUUCCGUAAAAAUUUAAGCUUUUUGAGUUUUGAUUUUCUCUUUUUAUUUUUAAUUUUCUAAGUGAUGAUUGUGGUAAAUUUUUGUUAGAUUUAGAAAUGGGGAAGAAACAAGUGAUGUUACCGGCGAGUGAAGUUGACUUGACAGCGGUGAAGUACAUACCGGAAAAUAUUCAAGGUUUAUUUUCCAUGUGAUAUUAUACUAGUACUAGUAUUUGAUUGCCCUUUUUCUUUUUGAUUAUAAUGUGCAUUAUUUUUUAAUUCAAUUGCAGCUCCACAUUUGACUGGUGUCUGAUAGGAGCAAACCAGUUGUGGUAUGUGAAAGAAAGAAAAGUAGAUAAAACAAAAGAAAGAAAAGUCAAAAAGAAAUGAAAAUAUGAUGUAAGUGCUUACAUUGGUAUUCUUAUGAUGUAUGCGCUUAUAUCGGCAUUCUUAUGAUGUAAGCGCUUACGUCGGCAGAGUAUUCAAAUGCCUAUAAAUGGGGUAUGCAUUUUCAUUUGCAAAUCAUCCCUCAACUUCUUCUUUCUCUCUUCAAUUAAUAAAGAGUUAUUCUUUGUAUGGCCGUGGAAUAGGCAAAAAUUGCCGAACCACGUAAAUAUUCUCUUGUCUUGUCUUGUGCAAUUUAUUGAUUCUCUUUUAAAUAUUUUUUUCCCUUCUAUUAGCCUGACACGUUUCCCAACAACUGGUAUCAGAGCACAGACAAUAUAAUUCUGGUAGAAAAGUACGGUAUCGGUGCAAGUACUAUUCACAAGAAUAGUACGACACUAUUGAUCAUCAUUACUAUUCACAUGCACUAUUCACAUAAAUUUUCUUGAGAAAAAUGGCAUAGGAAGAAGGGAAGCGGAAGAAGGGAAAGUUAAGAUUGACAAGUUCAAUGGCAAAAAUUUUGGAUUCUGGAAAAUGCAAAUAGAGGAUUAUUUGUACCAGAAAAAAUUAC
rnacentral:lncRNA from 1 species